rnacentral:rRNA from 1 species
UUGACCUCGAAUCAGGUAGGGAUACCCGCUGAACUUAAGCAUAUCAAUAAGCGGAGGAAAAGAAACCAACCGGGAUUACCCUAGUAACGCGAAUGAAACG